AGCGGGAGGUUCAGAUCCUGGGCUGUGUCACCGGCGCUCUGUGCUCCCGGCCUGUGUUGUUGGAUUUGAGCUCCCGGCAGCGCAGCUCCCU
rnacentral:pre_miRNA from 1 species